ACGGUGGAUGCCCUGGCAGUCAGAGGCGAUGAAGGACGUGCUAAUCUGCGAUAAGCGUCGGUGAGGUGAUAUGAACCGUUAUAACCGGCGAUUUCCGAAUGGGGAAACCCAGUGUGUUUCGACACACUAUCAUUAACUGAAUCCAUAGGUUAAUGAGGCGAACCGGGGGAACUGAAACAUCUAAGUACCCCGAGGAAAAGAAAUCAACCGAGAUUCCCCCAGUAGCGGCGAGCGAACGGGGAGGAGCCCAGAGCCUGAAUCAGUGUGUGUGUUAGUGGAAGCGUCUGGAAAGGCGCGCGAUACAGGGUGACAGCCCCGUACACAAAAAUGCACAUAUUGUGAGCUCGAUGAGUAGGGCGGGACACGUGGUAUCCUGUCUGAAUAUGGGGGGACCAUCCUCCAAGGCUAAAUACUCCUGACUGACCGAUAGUGAACCAGUACCGUGAGGGAAAGGCGAAAAGAACCCCGGCGAGGGGAGUGAAAAAGAACCUGAAACCGUGUACGUACAAGCAGUGGGAGCCUCUUAAUGGGGUGACUGCGUACCUUUUGUAUAAUGGGUCAGCGACUUAUAUUCUGUAGCAAGGUUAACCGAAUAGGGGAGCCGAAGGGAAACCGAGUCUUAACUGGGCGUUAAGUUGCAGGGUAUAGACCCGAAACCCGGUGAUCUAGCCAUGGGCAGGUUGAAGGUUGGGUAACACUAACUGGAGGACCGAACCGACUAAUGUUGAAAAAUUAGCGGAUGACUUGUGGCUGGGGGUGAAAGGCCAAUCAAACCGGGAGAUAGCUGGUUCUCCCCGAAAGCUAUUUAGGUAGCGCCUCGUGAAUUCAUCUCCGGGGGUAGAGCACUGUUUCGGCAAGGGGGUCAUCCCGACUUACCAACCCGAUGCAAACUGCGAAUACCGGAGAAUGUUAUCACGGGAGACACACGGCGGGUGCUAACGUCCGUCGUGAAGAGGGAAACAACCCAGACCGCCAGCUAAGGUCCCAAAGUCAUGGUUAAGUGGGAAACGAUGUGGGAAGGCCCAGACAGCCAGGAUGUUGGCUUAGAAGCAGCCAUCAUUUAAAGAAAGCGUAAUAGCUCACUGGUCGAGUCGGCCUGCGCGGAAGAUGUAACGGGGCUAAACCAUGCACCGAAGCUGCGGCAGCGACACUAUGUGUUGUUGGGUAGGGGAGCG
rnacentral:rRNA from 1 species